rnacentral:rRNA from 1 species
UACGUAGGGGGCAAGCGUUGUCCGGAAUUAUUGGGCGUAAAGCGCGCGCAGGCGGUUCUUUAAGUCUGGUGUAUAAGCCCAGGGCUCAACCUUGGGACGCACGGGAAACUGGGGGACUGGAGUGCAGGAGAGGAAAGUGGAAUUCCACGUGUAGCGGUGAAAUGCGUAGAGAUGUGGAGGAACACCAGUGGCGAAGGCGACUUUCUGGCCUGUAACUGACGCUGAGGCGCGAAAGCGUGGGGAGCAAACAGG